rnacentral:rRNA from 1 species
CGCAAGCCUGAUGCAGCGACGCCGCGUGAGGGAUGACGGCCUUCGGGUUGUAAACCUCUUUCAGUAGGGAAGAAGCGAAAGUGACGGUACCUGCAGAAGAAGCGCCGGCUAACUACGUGCCAGCAGCCGCGGUAAUACGUAGGGCGCAAGCGUUAUCCGGAAUUAUUGGGCGUAAAGAGCUCGUAGGCGGUUUGUCGCGUCUGCCGUGAAAGUCCGGGGCUCAACUCCGGAUCUGCGGUGGGUACGGGCAGACUAGAGUGAUGUAGGGGAGACUGGAAUUCCUGGUGUAGCGGUGAAAUGCGCAGAUAUCAGGAGGAACACCGAUGGCGAAGGCAGGUCUCUGGGCAUUAACUGACGCUGAGGAGCGAAAGCAUGGGGAGCGAACAGGAUUAGAUACCCUGGUAGUCCAUGCCGUAAACGUUGGGCACUAGGUGUGGGGGACAUUCCACGUUUUCCGCGCCG